rnacentral:rRNA from 1 species
GAUGAACGCUGGCGGCGUGCCUAAUACAUGCAAGUCGAGCGAACAGACGAGGAGCUUGCUCCUCUGACGUUAGCGGCGGACGGGUGAGUAACACGUGGAUAACCUACCUAUAAGACUGGGAUAACUUCGGGAAACCGGAGCUAAUACCGGAUAAUAUAUUGAACCGCAUGGUUCAAUAGUCAAAGACGGUUUUGCUGUCACUUAUAGAUGGAUCCGCGCCGCAUUAGCUAGUUGGUAAGGUAACGGCUUACUAAGGCAACGAUGCGUAGCCGACCUGAGAGGGUGAUCGGCCACACUGGAACUGAGACACGGUCCAGACUCCUACGGGAGGCAGCAGUAGGGAAUCUUCCGCAAUGGGCGAAAGCUUGACGGAGCAACGCCGCGUGAGUGAUGAAGGUCUUCGGAUCGUAAAACUCUGUUAUUAGGGAAGAACAAAUGUGUAAGUAACUAUGCACGUCUUGACGGUACCUAAUCAGAAAGCCACGGCUAACUACGUG